AAACCAUUUUGGGGAAGAGCAAAUGGCCCAUACUGAAUUCCAUUUUGUGGGCCCACCAUAGACCACCUGUACUUUGUGGUCAGAUGAUGUACAAGGAUCAAAAUCUCCAGCUUGGCUAAGUCAUUCCCUGGACAUGAGUGGACCCCAUUGCCAAAUGGCAUGAAUGUAUUGGGUUUUGGUGACACCUCAAAUCUUGAAGGAUCAAAUUUCUCUGGUUCAGGAAAAUUGUCUGGACUAUGAUGAAUAUUCCUAAA
rnacentral:misc_RNA from 1 species